AAACACUCCAUUAUUGCCCAGGCAGAGUGUGAGUCCCAGGAUUCACAGGAGUUCUGCCCCAAUGGCAGCAUCUCCUCCCAGUCGCUUCUUGGAGCCAUCUCUCGCAGUUGGCCCAAAAAGAAACGGCAU